CAGCUACCAUGACUUUGAUCCCCGUCUUCAUCUGGACACUGAUCCUCUGGACUCAAGAAUGCAGAGGUCAAGUCACAGUAACUCAGACUCCUGCAGUGAAAUCUGUUCUUCCAGGAGAAACAGUCACCAUCAACUGUAAAACUAAUCCCCAAGUGUAUCAAGGCUGGGGUUUUCAACCUUUAGCUUGGUAUCAGCAGAAACCUGGAGAAGCUCCUAAACUAUUGAUCAUUAAAGCAAACGAGCUACAGUCAGGUUUUCCAGCUCGUUUCAGUGGCAGUGGAUCUGGAUCUGAUUUCACUCUGACCAUCAGUGGAGUCCAGACUGAAGAUGCAGGAGAUUACUACUGUCAGAGUGUCCACUGUCCUAGUAGCUGCGUGUUCACACAGUGUUAUAGAGUCGUACAAAAACCUCCCUCAGUCAGAUUGUAGAGAGACUGAACUGCUGCAGCUGGGAGCGACUGCAGGUGCUGAGUUGGAGGAUGUGAUACGACACAAUGACACUCUGUGGAGGAGAAGAACCACAUCACACUAACUCAC